rnacentral:rRNA from 1 species
AACUGGGAUUAGAUACCCCACUAUGCUUAGCCCUAAACAUCGAUAGCGCACUACGCCUGCUAUCCGCCUGGGAACUACGAGCAUCAGCUUGAAACCCAAAGGACUUGGCGGUGCUUUAGAUCCACCUAGAGGAGCCUGUUCUA